rnacentral:rRNA from 1 species
UACGUAGGCAGCAAGCGUUGUUCGGAGUUACUGGGCGUAAAGGGUGCGUAGGCGGCUAUUUAAGUUUGGUGUGAAAUCUCCCGGCUCAACUGGGAGGGUGCGCCGAAUACUGAGUGGCUAGAGUGCGGGAGAGGAAAGUGGAAUUCCUGGUGUAGCGGUGAAAUGCGUAGAUAUCAGGAGGAACACCGGUGGUGUAAACGGCUCUCUGGACCGUAACUGACGCUGAGACACGAAAGCGUGGGUAGCAAACAGG